rnacentral:rRNA from 1 species
UACGAAGGGUGCAAGCGUUAAUCGGAAUUACUGGGCGUAAAGCGCACGUAGGCGGCUUUGUAAGUUAGAGGUGAAAGCCCAGGGCUUAACCCUGGAAUUGCCUUUAAGACUGCAUCGCUAGAAUCGUGGAGAGGUGAGUGGAAUUCCGAGUGUAGAGGUGAAAUUCGUAGAUAUUCGGAAGAACACCAGUGGCGAAGGCGACUCACUGGACACGUAUUGACGCUGAGGUGCGAAAGCGUGGGGAGCAAACAGG